rnacentral:rRNA from 1 species
UACGUAGGUGGCAAGCGUUGUCCGGAUUCACUGGGCGUAAAGCGCGCGCAGGCGGUCUUCUACGUCUGGGGUGAAAACCCGGGGGCUCAACCCCGGGACUGCCUUGGAUACGGGAAGACUUGAGGAUCGGAGAGGCAAGGGGAAUUCCACGUGUAGCGGUGAAAUGCGUAGAGAUGUGGAGGAACACCUGUGGCGAAGGCGCCUUGCUGGCCGAUUUCUGACGCUGAGGCGCGAAAGCGUGGGGGAGCAAACAGG